rnacentral:rRNA from 1 species
UUCGCUGACGAGUGGCGGACGGGUGAGUAAUGUCUGGGAAACUGCCUGAUGGAGGGGGAUAACUACUGGAAACGGUAGCUAAUACCGCAUAACGUCGCAAGACCAAAGAGGGGGACCUUCGGGCCUCUUGCCAUCGGAUGUGCCCAGAUGGGAUUAGCUAGUAGGUGGGGUAACGGCUCACCUAGGCGACGAUCCCUAGCUGGUCUGAGAGGAUGACCAGCCACACUGGAACUGAGACACGGUCCAGACUCCUACGGGAGGCAGCAGUGGGGAAUAUUGCACAAUGGGCGCAAGCCUGAUGCAGCCAUGC